rnacentral:rRNA from 1 species
GAUGAACGCUGGCGGCGUGCCUAAUACAUGCAAGUCGAGCGAAUGGAUUAAGAGCUUGCUCUUAUGAAGUUAGCGGCGGACGGGUGAGUAACACGUGGGUAACCUGCCCAUAAGACUGGGAUAACUCCGGGAAACCGGGGCUAAUACCGGAUAACAUUUUGAACCGCAUGGUUCGAAAUUGAAAGGCGGCUUCGGCUGUCACUUGUGGAUUGACCCGCUUCGCAUUAGCUAGUUGUUGAGGUAACGGCUCACCAAGGCAACGAUGCGUAGCUGACCUUAGAUGGUGAUCUGUCAAACUGAGACUGUGUCACGUUCCAGACUCCUACGGGGGGCAGCAGUAGGGAAUCUGCCGCUAUGGACGAACGUCUUACGGAGCAACGCCGCGUGGGUGAUGAAGGCUUUCGGGUCGUAAAACUCUGUUGUUAGGGAAGAACAAGUGCUAGUUGAAUAAGCUGGCACCUUGACGGUACCUAUCCAGAAAGCCACGGCUAACUACGUGCCAGCCGCCGCAGUAA